CACUCAUUUGCUCAUGGCCGCCUGAGUUGUUUCCAUCUUUUGGCUCUUGUGAAGAAUGCAGCUACAAACACUGACUCUGUUUUUCCCUUUUCAUGUAUCAUUCUCACUGGUGGAAGGGAAAGCCAGUGGCCAUAUUGUGGGCCUAUGUGGUAAGAGAAUGAAGACCCAGUCAAUAGUCAACAAGGAGCUGAAGUCUGCUAACCACCACAUAGGUGACCUUGGAAGAUCUCUGAGUUGAGCUUUCAGUUGAUGGGCAGCUUGAUUAUAACCUCAUGAGAGGUCUUGAGCCAGAACUCCCAGGAACAGGUUCCUGUUUUGAUUACAAAGGAGCCCUGCUUAAAAUAACUAUCAUAAAGGACACUUGCUGCCUAAGAAGCCAAUGGCAGGAAGCUACAAUAAAGAACACUGAAGGUGGCCUGACAGAAGAGGAUUCCUCCUGGAAGUGGAUCAGAGAAAGGCUAAAAGAAGAGCUGUCCUAGGAAAUGAGUGGGAUGUAAAGUGAAGAAAGCACAACAAGCAAGGAGCAGGUAGGCCUAAAGGCAAUGAAACAGCAAGUGGCUUUCAAAAUGGACACAGAAGAAAUGUCAGUGGAUAUUAACAUAACAUCAUAGAGUAUUUUACAGUUUCCAGAGCACUUUUACUGUAUCACAUUUAAUUAUUUCAACAACCGAUAGGUUUAAGAGUUUUUGUUUUUUUUUUUAACCCAGCACAGGAGCAGGUGGGGAGGAGAAGGAAGUCAGGUACCAAAAUACUCAUUUCUUCUAUAUAUGUGCUUUGCUUCACUGUAUAGAACCCUAGACUAUAGGAACUGAUGCUAUUCAUAGUUAAACUAUAGUGAUAAGUAUGUUGCCCCAGGUAGCAUUUACUUUGAGGUAUCAUUUGAGGCUUUAAUACUUUUAUUUGCAAUAUUAAUAAAUCAACUGCCAAAAAGUGAAUUCCAACUUCUACAUCAGACAAGAAAAUAUCAUUAUGCCAGAUGCUUGUUAUCAAAGAUUGACUCAGUUCAACAAAUCUUACUGAAACAGGACAAAGCACUACGUGAAGACCUAAAAUAUACUGUAUGACAGA